AUUGAACGCUGGCGGCAGGCCUAACACAUGCAAGUCGAGCGGAUGAAGGGAGCUUGCUCCUGGAUUCAGCGGCGGACGGGUGAGUAAUGCCUAGGAAUCUGCCUGGUAGUGGGGGAUAACGUCCGGAAACGGGCGCUAAUACCGCAUACGUCCUGAGGGAGAAAGUGGGGGAUCUUCGGACCUCACGCUAUCAGAUGACCCUAGGUCGGAUUAGCUAGUUGGUGGGGUAAAGGCCUACCAAGGCGACGAUCCGUAACUGGUCUGAGAGGAUGAUCAGUCACACUGGAACUGAGACACGGUCCAGACUCCUACGGGAGGCAGCAGUGGGGAAUAUUGGACAAUGGGCGAAAGCCUGAUGCAGCCAUGCCGCGUGUGUGAAGAAGGUCUUCGGAUUGUAAAGCACUUUAAGUUGGGAGGAAGGGCAGUAAGUGAAUACCUUGCUGUUUUGACGUUACCAACAGAAUAAGCACCGGCUAACUUCGUG
rnacentral:rRNA from 1 species